rnacentral:rRNA from 1 species
AGCGGAGGAAAAGAAACCAACAGGGAUUGCCCUAGUAACGGCGAGUGAAGCGGCAACAGCUCAAAUUUGAAAUCUGGCCCUUGUGGUCCGAGUUGUAAUUUGUAGAGGAUGCUUUUGGUUAGGUGCCUUCCGAGUUCCCUGGAACGGGACGCCAUAGAGGGUGAGAGCCCCGUCUGGUUGGAUACCGAGCCUCUGUAAAGCUCCUUCGACGAGUCGAGUAGUUUGGGAAUGCUGCUCUAAAUGGGAGGUAUAUGUCUUCUAAAGCUAAAUAUUGGCCAGAGACCGAUAGCGCACAAGUAGAGUGAUCGAAAGAUGAAAAGCACUUUGAAAAGAGGGUUAAAAAGUACGUGAAAUUGUUGAAAGGGAAGCGCUUGUGACCAGACUUGGGCCCGGUCAAUCAUCCAGGGUUCUCCCUGGUGCACUUGGCCGGCCCAGGCCAGCAUCAGUUUGUCGCGGGGGAUAAAGACGUUGGGAAUGUGGCUCCUCCGGGAGUGUUAUAGCCCUUCGUGUAAUACCCUGCUUCGGACUGAGGUUCGCGCAUCUGCAAGGAUGCUGGCGUAAUGGUCAUCAGCGACCCGUCUUGAAACACGGACCAAGGAGUCGUCUUCGUAUGCGAGUGUUCGGGUGUCAAACCCCUACGCGUAAUGAAAGUGAACGCAGGUGAGAGCUUCGGCGCAUCAUCGACCGAUCCUGAUGUUCUCGGAUGGAUUUGAGUAAGAGCAUACGGGGCCGGACCCGAAAGAAGGUGAACUAUGCCUGUAUAGGGUGAAGCCAGAGGAAACUCUGGUGGAGGCUCGCAGCGGUUCUGACGUGCAAAUCGAUCGUCAAAUAUGGGCAUGGGGGCGAAAGACUAAUCGAACCUUCUAGUAG